UGCGGGCGUAGCUCAGUGGUAGAGCAUAACCUUGCCAAGGUUGGGGUCGCGAGUUCGAAUCUCGUCGCCCGCUCC
rnacentral:tRNA from 1 species